rnacentral:tRNA from 1 species
GGGGAUUUAGCUCAGUGGUAGAGCACUUGCCUAGCAAGCACAAGGCCCUGGGUUUGGUUCCCCAGCUCCG